GCUCACUUAUUUAUUUAGUAACCAAAGAAGAAACCAUAGUAUUUUGUAGUCUUCCUCCAAAGUAAGACUCGAUAGCUUGAGACUUUGGUACAUCUGGUUUAAGUUGUAGAAGGGUCUCCUCUGAACCUCUCUUAAUGAUGAUACCGUCGUGGCCAGCAAGAAUAAAUGAAUGCAUGGAUGUGAUAAGUUGGAAUGAGUGUUGUACAGCAAUCAGGAUUGAUCUCUUUAUCUAAUUUAGGAAAGUACGUAGACCAAGUUCUGAAGCCGAUGAAAAGAGUGUUGGGGAGAGUUAAGUACUAUCUCUAGAGAUUGUAACUGUAUGGGUAACGAAAAAGGUUGAUCUCUAGUUUGGGUGAACAGCAUGUUUUCAAAGCGGCUAGGCUAGUACUCCUGUCACGACAAGGCAGGAUUUAGUGGGAAGGCAUGUCGACUGUCAAGGCAAGCUAACUAGAGGAUGAUCGUAUUUAGAAACAACUCGUAAUUAGUAACCAAAAUCGUUUCUAUAACGAUUAAAAAAUAUAUUUUUUGGCACAAGAAAAAUAUAUGAAUUGUGGUGAAUUAAAACGAUUAAUACUGUAUAUAUAUAGAAGACGAAGAUUACGCUGAUGACGACGCAGAAGAAGAGUAUACAUCCCCGGCGCAAUCAUCUCCACUACCACCAUUGUCGGAGAAUUUCGAGAAAGACCGACACAAUCACUUCACUUUCUUGGCGCAAGAGACCGUGUUCUUCGUCUCUCAAAUCUCUAUGCUCUGUUGUGGUUCCUCCAGUUCAGUAAUAGACUCUCCAUUGCUUCUCAACUGGUGUCUACCGGUACUUCCUCCAAAAAAAGGUUUCUUCAGAGGUUUCAUACUUUCAUUCAUACUAUCGCUACAGGAGUUUUAGCUUCUUGGAGGAACCUGGUUUGAGUCCACUAUGCCUUGAGCUAGUGUUACCAUUCUUGCAGCCUCAGGAAUCUAAUCUGAUUUGUUUAUUUACAUUUUCCCUCAAGAGUCACAUUCUCAAUAGCCAAGAACGAGUAAGCGGUGCUGAUGAUGCCACUUGGAUAGUAAAAAGGUAUCGGACAAAAACCUGAAGGGGGGGAACUAGUGAUUCCCCACUUGGUCUCUUGUUUGUAUUCAUUUAUCGUAUUCUUCCAGUUUUUCGGUCCAUGUUCAGAGUUAGUAAAAUCUAUACUUUCUUUA